rfam:Vigna angularis cultivar Jingnong 6 scaffold80_66, whole genome shotgun sequence.
GCCUUUAUAGCUCAGUGGUAGAGCUUCAGUCUUGUAAACUGAAGGUCUGUUGUUCGAUCCUGCAUGAAGGCA